UGAUGAACUGUGUCAAACUUACAAUGAGAUUAUCCCACAGUUUUUAAGGGCUGACUGAACACACUGUGCUUGUGCAAAAUAACUAUGAAUACACUGUUCUCCAGGGAGAAAGAAUCUGGAAGGAGCCCAUCACGAAGAUCCUGGAUGAGUGGGCUGCUGUGAGUUUCCAUCACAGAGGAAAAGGGUGAAAUACCGAGCUGUAUCAGGGUCCAAAGUCACAUCAGCUGUGGGAGUAAAACAGGACACAUCAGAAGGACAGAAAUUUAGGAAGAACAGAAAUGUAUUUUCUUUAAAACACUUACAUAGCA
rnacentral:lncRNA from 1 species